GUGUCAGCCGCCGCGGUAAUACGUAGGAGGCAAGCGUUAUCCGGAUUUACUGGGCGUAAAGCGGGCGUAGGCGGUCCUUCAAGUCGGAUGUAAAAUCUCCCGGCUCAACUGGGAGAGACCAUUCGAAACUGCUGGACUUGAGGAUAGCAGAGGGAGGUGGAAUUCCCGGUGUAGUGGUGAUAUGCGUAGAUAUCGGGAGGAACACCAGUGGCGAAGGCGGCCUCCUGGGCUAUUUCUGACGCUGAGGCCCGAAAGCGUGGGGAGCGAACAGAAUUAGAUACUCUGGUAGUCCACGCUAUAAACGAUGGACACUAGGUAUGGGGAGUAUCGACCCUCUCUGUGCCGAAGCUAACGCGUUAAGUGUCCCGCCUGGGGACUACGGCCGCAAGGCUAAAACUUAAAGGAAUUGACGGGG
rnacentral:rRNA from 1 species